rnacentral:rRNA from 1 species
AACGAACGCUGGCGGCAUGCCUAACACAUGCAAGUCGAACGAGACCUUCGGGUCUAGUGGCGCACGGGUGCGUAACGCGUGGGAACCUGCCCUUAGGUUCCGAAUAACUCCCCGUAGGGGGUGCUAAUACCGGUUAAUGUCUUCGGACCAAAGAUUUAUCGCCUUGGGAUGGGCCCGCGUUGGAUUAGCUAGUUGGUAGGGUAAAAGCCUACCAAGGCGACGAUCCAUAGCUGGUCUGAGACGAGGAUCAGCGGCACUGGGACUGGGACACGGCCCAGACGCGUGCGAGAAGUAGCAGAGGGGACAAUAUGAGAGUGAGCGAGAGCCUGAUCCAGCGCGGCCGCGAUAGUGAUGAAGGCCUUAGAGUGGUAAAGCUCUUUUACCCGAGAGGAUAAUGACAGUACCGGGAGAAUAAGCUCCGGCUAACACCGU